AUUGAACGCUGGCGGCAGGCCUAACACAUGCAAGUCGAGCGGAUGAAGAGAGCUUGCUCUCUGAUUUAGCGGCGGACGGGUGAGUAAUGCCUAGGAAUCUGCCUGGUAGUGGGGGAUAACGUUCCGAAAGGAACGCUAAUACCGCAUACGUCCUACGGGAGAAAGCAGGGGGCCUUCGGGCCUUGCGCUAUCAGAUGAGCCUAGGUCGAAUUAGCUAGUUGGUGAGGUAAUGGCUCACCAAGGCGACGAUCCGUAACUGGUCUGAGAGGAUGAUCAGUCACACUGGAACUGAGACACGGUCCAGACUCCUACGGGAGGCAGCAGUGGGGAAUAUUGGACAAUGGGCGAAAGCCUGAUCCAGCCAUGCCGCGUGUGUGAAGAAGGUCUUCGGAUUGUAAAGCACUUUAAGUUGGGAGGAAGGGCAGUAAGUUAAUACCUUGCUGUUUUGACGUUACCGACAGAAUAAGCACCGGCUAACUCUGUGCCAGCCGCCGCAGUAAAAC
rnacentral:rRNA from 1 species